rnacentral:rRNA from 1 species
GAUGAACGCUGGCGGCGUGCCUAACACAUGCAAGUCGAACGGGGUUUUAACGCUUCCGAAGCUUCGGCAGAGGAUUGUUAAAACUUAGUGGCGGACGGGUGAGUAACGCGUGGGUAACCUGCCUCAUACAGGGGGAUAGCAGUUGGAAACGACUGGUAAUACCGCAUAAGCGCACGGUGCUGCAUGGCACAGUGUGAAAAACUCCGGUGGUAUGAGAUGGACCCGCGUCCGAUUAGCCAGUUGGCGGGGUAACGGCCCACCAAAGCGACGAUCGGUAGCCGGCCUGAGAGGGCGGACGGCCACAUUGGGACUGAGACACGGCCCAGACUCC